rnacentral:rRNA from 1 species
GAUGAACGCUGACAGAAUGCUUAACACAUGCAAGUCGAUGGGGAAGUGGUGCUUGCACCAUGGUAACCAUGGCGGACGGGUGAGUAACGCGUAAGGGACUUACCUGCAGGACUGGGAUAACAGGGGGAAACUCCUGACAAGACCGGAUAAUGUCAUGGAGCUGCAUGGCUUUAUGAUUAAAGGAGACGCCUGCGGAGAGCCUUGCGUCCUAUUAGCUAGUUGGUGAGGUAAGGGCUCACCAAGGCGAAGAUAGGUAGCCGGCCUGAGAGGGUGGACGGCCACAAGGGGACUGAGACACGGCCCUUACUCCUACGGGAGGCAGCAGUGGGGAAUAUUGGACAAUGGGGGCAACCCUGAUCCAGCAAUUCUGUGUGCACGAAGAAGGUUUUCGGAUUGUAAAGUGCUUUCAGCAGGGAAGAAGGAAGUGACGGUACCUGCAGAAGAAGCGA